GCCCGGCUAGCUCAAUCGGUAGAGCGUGAGACUCUUAGGAUUCCUGUAAUCUCAAGGUUGUGGGUUCGACCCCCACGUUGGGCG